GAUUGUGCAGUAAAUUGUCUAUUUUGCCCCUCUUUCAUUUUUGUUUGCAGUUGUUGCUCUCAUUUGAAAGGUGCUUUUUGGUGUUUUUGGUUGAGCUUUGGCCACGUUGUGUUUUAUAGUAAAGAUGCCGGAAGCAUCUUCGACUUUUUCUUUUCCUCUUCUGUUUUCUUUCUGUUGUUCCGUUUCUCUUUAGUUUUCCCGUCUGUCUUUUGAUUUCGGUUCCGAUCGGAUCUUCUCGAAGGUGUUUGGCGUUUUUUCCCCUGUUUUGCACAAGCGAAUCGCUCCCGUUCAGGAAACAUUUUUCUUCGAGUUUUAGGGUUUUAUUCUUCCUAGCUUUUUCUGGGUCAGGUCUGAGCAUUCUGGUUAGCAGGCCCGCUUAGUUGAAUCAGCUAAGUUUCAUGUCUGACAUCGACGUACUGCUUCCACUGCCUUUGAUUAAGAUUUUUUGGCGAGAGAAUCAAGUUCAAAAUUCAAUUGAGGUUGCAUUUGCAAAGGGAGAAAAACAUCUUAGAUAGUUUUUGUGCUUAUGAAACAUUUGAGGGAAAAAAAAAAAGCUAAUUCAGCAAGGGAUUUACAACGUUGACAAAUACAUUUUCAAGCAAUGAAGACACAAAUAUUCAAAGUGCAACGGGGCUCUGUACCUUUGCUGAUGUUUCUGGCCGGUUGGUUGGGCGGCUUCCUCUAAUGGGAUUUAUAGUGUUUGAUUGAUUUCGGUGAGGGUGAGUUGUUAAGUUUUCCUUUAUUUGUUCAUGAUGUUUUAUAAAUGAUUGCAUGUUCUAUAUCUAAUUUCACUAACUCUUCGGGUGUAUUUUUCACAGUGGUUGUUCAUUUUUUCUGUUAUCAGUGCUUACCACUUGUUUGAGAAUAUGUAUUAAAUUGGCCUUUUUUUAGAUUAUUGGUAUGUUUUGGAUGUUUUUUGGUUUGU